rnacentral:tRNA from 3 species
GCCGUCCUAGCUCAGUGGUAGAGCGCUUGGCUUUUAACCACGUGGCCGUGGGUUCGAUCCCCACGAACGGCG